rnacentral:rRNA from 1 species
GACGAACGCUGACGGUGUGCUUUAGACAUGCAAGUCGAACGAGAAAGCCCUUCGGGUUAGUAAAGUGGCGAACGGGUGAGUAACACGUGGGCAAUCUGCCCCUCGCAGGGGGACAACCGGAGGAAACCCCGGCUAAUACCCCGUAAGUUCAAAGGGAGGCAUCUCCCUUCGAAGAAAGGUAGCUUCGGCCAUCCGGCGAGGGAUGAGCCCGCGGUGCAUUAGCUAGUUGGUGGGGUAACGGCCCACCAAGGCGACGAUGCAUAGCUGGUCUGAGAGGAUGAUCAGCCACACUGGGACUGAGACACGGCCCAGACUCCUACGGGA